rnacentral:rRNA from 1 species
GAUGAACGCUGGCGGCGUGCCUAAUACAUGCAAGUCGAGCGGACGGACGAUAAGCUUGCGUCUCUGAUGUUAGCGGCGGACGGGUGAGUAACACGUGUAUACCCUACCUAUAUUUCUGGUAUAACUUCGAGACACCGUAGCUAAUACCGGAUGAUCUUUUGAACCGCAGUGUUCAAUGGAGAAAGACGGUCUUGCUGUCACUUAUAGAUGGUUACGCGCUGCAUUAGCUAGUAGGUAAGGUAACGGCUUAUCAAGGCAACGAUGCAUAGCCGAACUGAGAGGGUGAUCGGCCACACUGGAACGGAGACACGGUCCAGACUCCUACGGGAGGCAGCAGUAGGGAAUCUUCCGCAAAGGGCGAAAGCCUGACGGAGCGACGCCGCGUGAGUGAUGAAGGUCUUCGGAUCGUAAAGCUCUGUUAUUAGGGAAGAACAUAUGUGUAAGUAACUGUGCACAUCUUGACGGUACCUAAUCAGAAAGCCACGGCUAACUACGUG